ensembl:lncRNA
CUAGCAUACAUCAUUUGCGUCGACGGUGAGCACUGCAAGAGACCCUGCUCUCUCCACGCCUCACCAGGCCGCACUGACGCUUGCGCUGAGCCCGCCAGCCUGUGCUCUACUCCAAGCUUCACGCGUCACAAUGGCUGCACUCUGACACCCACUGUGACAUCACGCUCACCGCCUCAUGGUGGCUGUGGGCGUGGGCCCUUGGCUCCCAAGCAAGACCUCCACACCUUCUCUGGGCAACCUUUGAAAGAAUUUCCUCCCAACGUGCUAUGUCGAUUGCCCUUCUUUUUGUCAGAACUCUGGCCACGAUCAUUUCAGACGGUGCUAACUCACACUACAUACCACUCGAGAAAGAACCAAGUUUCCAUUAAAAAAAGAAAAAAAAAAGAAAAAAAAAAGCAAGCAAGAUAAAGGCUGAUGUUUCUAUUUCUCUUCAAACGCUUUAUCCAGCACAGCUAAUUCCCUCGAUUGCUCAACACCUUUCUCCACGGUUGUCCACCUGCCUGGGUAACUUACCUGAUCUCCCUUGGAAGGAUACCUCUCCUUGGCGGCUGACAAGGAACGCCUCCAGAAGGCGAAAAGGGCCAGCCUGGCGUCCCCCAGGACACCCAGGUCCUUCUGUGCAGAGCUCUUCUCCAACAGGUCAGCCCGUUGCCGGGACUGGCGUGUGUGGUUAUUCCCCCCGCAGGUGUACCGCCCUGCACUCGCACUUGUAAAACCCCACCAGGUUCCUCUCUGUCCAGCUCUCACUGUGGCUAACUGUCUCUAAAACACAGCACUGCUUUCUGUUGUAGACCCCGACUACUAGCUGUCCAUUUCUCCGUAGGGCUGCUCUCAAGGAGAUCUUACCCGUUUCUAAAAGUACCUGGGAUUGCCCUGACACAAGUGCAGCACCCUGCACUUCGCCUUAUUGUACCUGAUUCGGUUCACGUGGGCCCACUUCUCCGGCCUGUCCAGGUCCCUCUGGAUGACUUCCCUUCCUUCCAACGUAUCAACUGCACUGCUCAGCUUGGUGUCACCCGCAAACUAGCUGAGGGUGCACUCGAUGCCAUGGCAUCUACUCGGCCUGUAGUUCCCCGGAUCCUCCUUUCUCCCUUUCAUAAAAAUGGGAGUAACAUUUCCCUUUUUCCAGUCCCCGGGGAUUUCACCAGACAGCCAUGAUUUUUAAAAUAUGAUGGAGAGCGGCUCAGCAACCACAUCACCACAUCAGCCAUCUCAUUCAGAACCUUUGAAUGGAUAUCAUCCAGCCCCAUGGACUUAGACACAUUCAAUGUCAUGAGGAGGGCUUGGUCUUGUUCCACUGUUACAGUGGGACAGAAAGUACUCCACACACCCUCACCUAGAGGCUUGUGGUCCUGGCAGACACAGAAAGCCUGACCACCUGUGAAGACUUAGGCAAAGCACUCAGUGAGUACCUCAGCUUUUUCCAUGUCUGAGGAAGCCAGCUUUAUGGCUUGCAUUAUACUAAUUGCUUUGCUUAUCUUCGUAUGUAUUUCUCUGCGAUGCAUGUUAUGGCUGUGUAAGCGUUCAGAGAAUAGCUAUGAGGACUGAAUAGAGAAUAGCUAUGAGAAAUAGCUAUGAGGAAAAAACACAGGCUGAGACAGAAGAUGGAAAAUGGGAGUUAUUUUAGGAAUUUUCUUUCUCAAAAUGGGAUCAUCUAGCAAAAGGUUUUGCUAGACUUAAGUAAAGGGGGGUUUGAGAUCAGUAGCUCAGGUGGGUCUAGGGUUUGAACAUAUAGGGGUUAAAUAAGCUAGCUUUAGAAACUAGGGAAGGAGAAUGACAUCUCAACAUUUCAUGGUCAGCUGUGCAAACACAAAGAAAGGAACGAUACAAAGCGAAUGGCUUUGACUGGUUUGAAUGCACCGUAAGAAGGUCAGACCGAGGAAGACAUCGGGCCUUCACGAGGAAGACUUCUGACUUCAUCCCCACGACCACCAAAGGGAGACCCUUACUAUGGACAAUGCAUGCACCAGGGGAGGGGCAGUAUGUAAAUGAAUUUCUGGAAGGAUAAUGAAUAUGUAGAUGGGUUCCAAGAAUUCUGCUGAGUAUGUAUGGACUUGGCUUACAAAUCUGUAGCAUUUUUGCUUGCUGGUGUGCAAGUUUGGUGGGGUGAUCCCCCUUGCACCCGGCCGGCCAAAUAAACAUACCUGCUUUAUAACCUAACCGGGUUAUAGAGUUUGAUUCUGCACGUCAGAUCCACUCAUGAAAUGAAACUAAAUAUGAAAAUGUCCCUAUGAAUUGCAUUUGCAGUGACAUAAAGUUGAGGAUUUGGGUGUUGGAGAUUCCCAUACUUGCAGUAACCACUGACAGACA